GUGCUUGCUGCAUGCAGCAGCACAUGUGCUAAAAUUGGAACUAUACAGAGAUUAGUAUGGCCCCAGCACAAGAAUGACAUGCAAAUUCAUGAAGCAUUCCAUAUUUUU
ensembl:snRNA U6 U6 spliceosomal RNA